UACGUAGGGUGCGAGCGUUGUCCGGAAUUAUUGGGCGUAAAGAGCUCGUAGGCGGUCUGUCGCGUCUGCUGUGAAAACUCGGGGCUUAACCCCGGGGCCUGCAGUGGGUACGGGCAGACUAGAGUGCGGUAGGGGAGACUGGAAUUCCUGGUGUAGCGGUGAAAUGCGCAGAUAUCAGGAGGAACACCGGUGGCGAAGGCGGGUCUCUGGGCCGUAACUGACGCUGAGGAGCGAAAGCAUGGGGGAGCGAACAGGG
rnacentral:rRNA from 1 species